CGAGCUUCUGCAUGCCCUAUGGGCACACAAUCGGCACAUAUAACAACUUCCCACCAUCGUUAUUGUCGACACCAACAAUAUAAAAAAUAUCAAGUGCAGUGGCGCUCGCAUUCUCUGGCUCCCCAGCAGCACCACUGUAACAGCAUGGCUCGGAGAGACGUAGCUGGAUGGAGCUCCUCGUCACUUACUUCUGCAAGGGUGGCAUCAGUGGCUUUUGUGGUCUUCUGAUGUUUGAAAUUCAGCAAAGUGUUUGUGUGAAAUUGAUGUGCUGUAAACUCUUUGAGUUGAUGUGUCAAAUUCCGCAAAGAAAAGCUGAGAUUUUGUGUGUC